CCUACGGGAGGCAGCAGUGGGGAAUAUUGCGCAAUGGGCGAAAGCCUGACGCAGCGACGCCGCGUAAGGGAUGAAGGUCUUCGGAUCGUAAACCUCUGUCAGCAGGGAAGAACGGUCCCUGUGCUAAUCAGCAGUGCAUUGACGGUACCUGCCAAGGAAGCACCGGAUAACUCCGUGCCAGCAGCCGCGGUAAUACGGAGGGUGCGAGAGUUAAUCGGAAUUACUGGGCGUAAAGCGCUCGUAGGCGGUAUGUCAAGUCAAGGGUGAAAUCCCCGCGCUCAACGUGGGAACUGCCUUUGAAACGGGCAAACUGUAGUGUGUGAGAGGAUAGUGGAAUUCCAGGUGUAGGAGUGAAAUCCGUAGAUAUCUGGAGGAACAGCAGUUGCGAAGGCGACUAUCUGGCACAUAACUGACGCUGAGGAGCGAAAGCGUGGGUAGCAAACAGGAUUAGAUACCCUUGUAGUC
rnacentral:rRNA from 1 species